UAAAGUAACAUAUAUUUGGGAGC
rnacentral:piRNA from 1 species